GUCGACCUCUGAUGUACAGCAUAUAGUAAUUGUAUGUCGCUUUGUAUAAAAGAGGCAGCUAAAUGACAUGUAAUGUAAUAUAAUCUGGCAACAAGUAAAUCCUUUCAAGCCG